GUUUUUAUAAUUUAAUUAAAAUACUGGUCUUGUAAGCCAAUUAUAGGUUACCCCUUAAAAACA
rnacentral:tRNA from 1 species